CCCUAUGGGGUGCAGCAGGGGCCCCAUGACGGCUGUCGCUAGAGAGAUGAACUCGCUAUCCAGGGGAUCGGCAUGGCCGAAACAGAGCCGGUAGGCGGGAUCGUUUUUCUCCGGGUAGCGAUAGGCGUCCCACCUGGUCCGGGCAGCUUUCAGAGCCUUGUCGGUCCCUUGCCCGCCAGAUGCCGCCUUCGCAUAAGCGAAAGACGAUUCAGGAAAUAAUUUAAGUGGUUCGGAAAUACCUUUCCAGUAAAUAUUCAGGAUAUCAGCCAGACACUUCCGGUCGUUGGACAGGGGGGGAUAGGAAAGGCAACGAUCCCCGAAGACGAGCAGCGACUUUAAAGACAGGCCGCAUUGGUGGAGAACGAGAUGAUAUAUCCAGGCCCGGAGGAGGUCACGGGCCUUUACCCGGGCCGGCCGGGCGAAGACGGAAUUGGCGGGGGGGC
rnacentral:rRNA from 1 species